UGGGGAAUUUUGGACAAUGGGGGCAACCCUGAUCCAGCAAUGCCGCGUGUGUGAAGAAGGCCUUCGGGUUGUAAAGCACUUUUGUCCGGAAAGAAAACGUCGUGGUUAAUACCCGUGGCGGCUGACGGUACCGGAAGAAUAAGCACCGGCUAACUACGUGCCAGCAGCCGCGGUAAUACGUAGGGUGCAAGCGUUAAUCGGAAUUACUGGGCGUAAAGCGUGCGCAGGCGGUCCGCUAAGACAGAUGUGAAAUCCCCGGGCUUAACCUGGGAACUGCAUUUGUGACUGGCGGGCUAGAGUAUGGCAGAGGGGGGUUAGAAUUCCACAUGUAGCAGUGAAAUGCGUAGAGAUGUGGAGGAAUACCGAUGGCGAAGGCAGCCCCCUGGGCCAAUACUGACGCUCAUGCACGAAAGCGUGGGGGAGCAAACAGGAUUAGAUACCCUGGUAGUCCACGCCCUAAACGAUGUNAACUAGUUGUCGGGUCUUCAUUGACUUGGUAACGUAGCUAACGCGUGAAGUUGACCGCCUGGGGAGU
rnacentral:rRNA from 1 species